rnacentral:misc_RNA from 1 species
UCAUUGCAGAUGGCCGAGGGGCGGAAGGCGCAGGUGGUCCUACUGGACGAGAGAAGACUGGACAUGAUGGUACAGCCCAAGCUGUAUGCAGGGGAUCUCCUGGACAUAGUGGCCUCACAUUUCAACCUCAAAGAAAAAGAAUACUUUGGUCUUUGCUUCCUGGAUGAAACAAACCACUUCACCUGGUUACAGUUGGACAGGAAGGUGCUAGAACAUGAUUUCCCAAAGAAACAGUCCACAGGGACGCUGAUCCUUUACUUCUCUGUCAGGUUCUAUAUAGAAAGUAUAGCCUACCUCAGAGACAAAGUGACAGUGGAAUUAUUUUAUCUGCAGGCAAAACAAGCAAUUUUUAAGGGUACAGUCGAGUGUGACAGCGAGACAGCUUUUGAGCUAGCAGCGCAUGUGUUGCAGGCAGCACAUGGAGAUUAUGAAGAUGAUGAUAUAACUCGUAGUCAGCUAAAGAAACUUCCAGUUCUCCCGACCAGUAUAUUUAAGGACCAUCCUUCUAUACAGUACUGUGAGGAUAGAGUUAUAGACCAUUAUAAGAAGUUAUCAGGGCAGUCCAGGGGGUCAGCUAUUGUGAAUUAUCUGAGUAUAGUGGAAACGUUACCGACAUACGGAAUACACUACUAUGAAGUCAAGGAUAAGACAGGUUUGCCAUGGUGGCUUGGUCUCAGUCCUAAAGGUAUAGCCCAGUAUGACUACGCAGACAAGAGGACACCCAGGAAGGUUUUUCCUUGGAAGCAAUUAGAGAAUCUAUACUUUCGUGAUAGGAAGUUUUCUAUAGAAGUUCACGAUCCAAAAAGAAUCAUACAUACGCUCAGCAGUUUCAACUUGUACGAAGACGCCAUCCAGGAACCAGUCGACCAGUUUGACGAGCUCUCGGACGCCAUAUCUGAUCCGACAACACAAGUGUCAGUGAGUCGUCGCACAUUUGGCCCUGGUAACGUGAAUGUGUACGCCUGGUUUGCUGCCAGUGCGCUAUUAACCAAGACAAUAUGGUCCAUGGCCGUGUGCCAGCACCAGUUUUACUUAGAUAGAAAAAGUAGUAAGGCUCACCUUCCAUUUGUCCGUAGUAUGACAGAGCUGGCGGCAGAGAUCUCUCAGAGCACGUCCUCUCUCCCGGGGUCGGACGGCUCUUCCUUGGGGAUACGGACCAGUAACAGCUGCCACAGUCUGUCCAAGAUCUCUAAUUCGUCCAAAUCAGAUCUGACCACUGAGCAACUAGAGAUUGCACGUGCAGCACAACGUGAUAUGUAUGCCGCGCUGAAGGCAAGAAAAGAAGCCUUAGAAGAGGCGCUAAAAAAGAAAACUGCCGAAUUGAAGCUACUAUGCAUAAGAGAAGGGGACCUCACUGGGGAGCUGCCCCCAGAGACCCCUCUCAUUCCUGGGGAAAUGGUCCCCGUUGUCAGGAAAAGAAUGGGAACAGAAUUCUCCUUGUCCUCAAGAAUUAUUAAUACUGACAGGGAUGAGGAGGAAGACGAAGAACUCGCAAAACUAGAAUUAGAAUUCGAGCUCCAGAACCAGAUUACAAAUGCAGCACUAAAAUUGGCCAAAGACACUUCCGCUGCUAAAAGUGUUCGAAAGAGCCGGAGACAGACAUAUCAGAAAUCUCGAGAAAAGCUCCAGGAUAUUGAAAAAAGGCUUAACGAGAUGAAGUACAAGAAAGGCCAGGCCCUAGUCAAGCAUCACCAGCCGUCCUUAGAUGAUGAAAGCAUUGGCACAGCAGACAGUGUUUCACUAGAUCGCCAGAGUAUAAAAAGUGAAGCCAAAAGUGACAGUGCUAGUGAUAUUAGUGCCAAAACACAGGAGUCCGAGAAGUCCGCUGGUCUGACUUCCCUUUCGCGACUCCAGGCAUCAGUCGCCAAACCUUCUAGUUCAGACUCCGAUAAACCUCCAAGGCCUCCUAAAACAUUCCGACUCAAAAAUCUCAAAGAUAUAUUGGAAGAGCCAGAGAGUGGGACAUCAAAGAAAUUGAGUCCUGUGAAUCUUACGAAGCCUCACUCUGACCAGAAUAUGGCGUCAAAGGAGAACAGUGGAAGUUAUUCGGUUUCUGCUGCGCUGCUGAGUAAAAAGAAACAUGGGGGCAAUGACACAGCAAAGACUGUCAAUGCUACAGUGGUUGACGCAAGUGAUAAAGAAAGUUCUAAAAGUAGCUCAAAGACAGAAUCAGAGUACCCAUCACCAUUCACGUCUCCGGCAGUGCAGAGAGUACACAAGGACCAUCCUAAGGUUACAGUCAUAACUUCUCCUAAAGUGGAGAUAGUUGAAGUAGAACACGGCACACCUCCGCGAGAACACAAGCGCCCGUCAACGCCCUCGUCACAGUCCUUGACCUCCAUGGAGUCCCAGGGGUCAGGAAGGUCAGGGUCAUACUCCCAGAGGUCAGCGUACUCCUCACCAUCAGCCAGCCCCCAGAGGCAGCCCAACUACCCUAGGGGGUCUUCUCCAAGCCCUAGACUGGGAAGGCAAGGGUCCAAAGAUGUAGGCUACACUCCUAACACAGUUUAUUCCACCAGAACACAUUACAGAACACUACAAUACCCAACCUUCAGUUCACGGGUCAACUCCACCUCCAGCAACCUCUCCGAGUACGAUAACUUGAGUAGUACCUCAACACGAGACUCCUCGGGAGGACGAAGUGCACGUUACGAAACAAACGUUGACUCUGGGAGGACGGUGCCCAUGCACAAUAUGUACAACGUGAACACCGGUAGCACCGCACAUGCGGGACAUUAUCAGAGCACAGAUGAGUUGAAGGGUGGUGGCGAGGGGCUGUACGGAGGAGGGGAUAAUUCUAGUGUAGGGAGUGACGAUAGGGGCGGAUUUCCAGCUCGGCAUAACAGUUUAGAAGGGACCUAUAGACGAGGAAGUAAGGAAUAUCCCAGAUAUGGAAGCCUAGAAAGGAAUGUCAAUACAUUUACUAGGCAACAACAGUACUAUCUUGACCAACAACAACAGCAACAGCAGCACCAACGACAGGAGGAAAAUUUACCGGAAUUGACCCCAUCAAGAUUUGGUAGCAAAAGAGACUCACAUUCAGAUUUUGGUGACUAUUUUGAGCGGGAUCGUCCUGUGCAUAAUAUGCCCCAUCACCAUCACCAACAGCAUCAUCAUCAUCAUCAUCAGCAACACAAGCAGCAACAUCAUCAUUCGUCCCAUCCCCACCACCAACAACAUCAGAGGUAUAGUAAUAUUGAGGAGAAAAGUUACGGAGCUGCAGAGGCAUCAAUUCCCUACAUAGACUCAAACGGCCAUCGGCAUGAACCGAGGCAAUGGUAUGAGACCUCAGAAUCUCCACCAUCUUUAAAACAUCGGCACCACAGUGGCAGUGACUCACCACGCUAUGAGAGCCCACUACAGCCGAAUGUCAAACAUGACAUUAUGAACAUCUCCCGGGAUAUUCAGCAAAGACUUUCUGUAGAAAGAGAGAAAAACCCAGAGAGAAAUGAAAAUAGGACUAAUACAAAAGGGGCGCCAGAGUCCCCAAAACCCGUCAUGACUGUGACAAAAUUCCGCCCAUAUAGGGAAGUGACAAAACCAUACGAGUUGUCAGACUUUUACAAGUAUAGUGAAAAGUUACGACGGCAGCGGAGUAACGAGAGCCCAGGAUCACAGAGCAGUGGCACGCCGCCACACUCGGGGCAAGAGCCACAUAGUCCAAGGUCACCAUAUUUAUCACAACGCACACCUCAUCACCAGGGGGCAGCAGCUGCAGGAGGACAAGGGGCCACUUACUCUGAGGGAGGCUAUGACAGGCCUCCCCUCAGUCCAGCAUCUUACGAGACAGUGCGUGAGCGCGGGCUUGGCUCGUACACAGUACAGAGUCACCAAGCACCACGCUAUCAUACGCAAACUGCUGGUUACCAUUCACAAAGUAGCUCUUCACGACAGGUGCAAUAUACAGCACCGCAGCCAAUGAAAUGCGAGCCUGUGUUAUCACCACCACCAGAUGGCAGCAACAGUAGUAGUAGUGGUGCUCGUAGGUUACAUUCCGACUCCUCUGAAUUGAACCCGCCUUCUAAACUCGUUAGCCGCGAUGCUAGCUUCACUUUUGAUGCUGGCGAGAGUUUAGCCGAGGCUUUUAGUGAAGAGAUGCUUGCAUGGUAUGAGGAUCAGGAUAACACUAUCAAACCUGCCACUAUUGUAUGACACAUGCAUAGAUGGCGCUAGGUGAGAAGACAAACUGGUGUAGAAGUGGGUCACAUUUUUGGAUAGAAAAAGUGUGAAACUAUCUAGAUAUUGUGGAGUUGCAAUUCUUGUUGUGUCUUACUAAACUAGCGCUGAGCACCCUGUGUGUAGAGGGAACUUCUUCACCAUUUAUGGCACUCACAUAAUAGUUAACUAAGGGGUGUUGUGUUGGUUUGUCAUGGUUUCGCUUAAAACAUAUCCACUGCUGCUUUAUUAACUGCUUUUUUAUUGCCUCGCUUCGUUGAACCUUUGGUAAUAAGAAGUAGGAAUUAUUGCAGAAAUUGAAACUAAUCAAUCAAACCAAAAUGAAACUGAUCAGUUUUUAGUAAAGAUGGAUUCGUGCCAAUUGAGGUGUGUAAGUACACCAAUAGAUGACGCUGUGUGCAUGUCAUCAUUUGAACUUGAGAUUAGACAUUGGUUAGAUUGAUUGGUCAACUCUGCUCAGAUGGUGUCGAUAAGGGAAACUGCAUGUUACUAGGUACUUUUACCUGAUGCACUAGUGAAAGGGUUUUAAACUAGUUUUCUACAUUUUUCAUAUACUUAAAAUAACAUUUGAUAUUUUAUACUUGAAAAUCACUAAACAAAAACAUCUGAAUAUAAGAAAAGUUGCAGUUUUGGCCUUAUGAACCAUUGCCUCUAAAAAAGGGAAAUUUUAAAGGGAAAUGGAUCUUUCCUCAUUAAAUAAUAAGCACAGUUAAGCAAUUUGUAUGCAAAAUACUGACAAGUUUUAUUUUCAAAAUGUUCAAUUUAAAAAGUGCAGUGUAUUUUACCAUUUCCCAAUUUCCAUGAAUUUGAAUCAUUUCCCGAUUGAGAACACUAGUUUACCACAUGGUAAUUGAAAUAGCUACAUUCAUGCCAGUUAGCAUGGGUAGAUUGGGUAGGAAAUAAAACUAACACCAGACUUCAGCUGAGGCCAAAAGCUUCUUCGGAGGGCACCAAGCUGGUUUCUGGCUGAUGGUCACCUUAACCCUAUAGCUGCCUCCUUAGGAAUGCAUAAAUGACAAAACCAAUUCAGGCUUGGUUCUCCUUCUGUCAACUUGGCUUAGCUCCACCCACUCAAGACUAAGCUCCGCCCACACCUGCUAAGCACCACCCAUACAAAGAUUAGCUCCACCCACAAAUAUCUGCCAUUACAAGGAUUUGUGCUAUUUUUUUCACCUACCUAGCAGUUGCAUGGAUAAAGCAUGGCAGGCAGGUUUUGUGAAAGUAUACUGCACUGAUGGUUUGGCAUGCAGGGGAGUGUAUUUUUGGAAAUGUGCCACUUGGAAUUCCAGAUAAUGCUACUAUAGCAUAAAAGUAAUUUCUGCACCUGUAGAUUUUUUUCUGUUCUGUGACUUAAACUUUAAAGAGGGGUGAAAUGAAAUCAAACAAAUUAAAGAUGCAUGAAAGCUCUAAGAUUUCAACAUGGUUCUUUCUCGUGUGUUCCAUGAGUGCACUUCAAUCGUAACAAGAUAUGCCAAGACUUCAGGAAUUCUCAAAAUGAUCAACUUAAAGGAAAUCGUGAAUUUGCUACAGUUACUUAUUUGCUAGUGUCACCUCUGUUCUUGUACAAACCAAAUAUGUCUUAUGAAAGUGGGACCAACUUUCAUUUUUAUUUGUGUUGUAUAAUUUUGAAAAAAAAAGCAUAAGAUUGAAUACCUUUGCAGGCAGUGGCGUUUUAGAGCGUCCGAACUAUCGGUAUGCCCUCUAUGUAGGCAUACAGCGUUGUUAGGCUUGUGGCUGCUGCUUGAUGUAGGCGAAUGGCAAACGAGACGACCUCUCACUUAUUCAGGGUAUAUCGUGUUUUAAGUCAUAAAUUGUACGACAAGAAACUGUUUUAUUACGUAUGGUUAAUGAGCCAACUGACACGGAAGUCCGAGUUGGUCUUUUAAGUUAUUAUUAUAACGUUAUUCUAAAGCAAUGAAGUUGUAACUAUUGAUUGUAAUUCAUUGUUUUGUAUAUAUGUGUAUGUCAAUUCAUUUAGUUCACUGAUAGCUUGUGUAUAUCACUUUAUCGUCAAUAUAAUUUUAUCAUUUGUACUGUGUACCAGUGAAAAGUAUGCUAUUGCUGCAGUAAAGAAUGAUACAACCCUA